GACGAACGCUGGCGGCGUGCCUAAUACAUGCAAGUAGAACGCUGAAGAGAGGAGCUUGCUCUUCUUGGAUGAGUUGCGAACGGGUGAGUAACGCGUAGGUAACCUGCCUGGUAGCGGGGGAUAACUAUUGGAAACGAUAGCUAAUACCGCAUGAAAUGGAUUAUCGCAUGAUAAUCGAUUGAAAGGUGCAAAUGCAUCACUACCAGAUGGACCUGCGUUGUAUUAGCUAGUUGGUGGGGUAACGGCUCACCAAGGCAACGAUACAUAGCCGACCUGGGAGGGUGAUCGGCCACACUGGGACUGAGACACGGCCCAGACUCCUACGGGAGGCAGCAGUAGGGAAUCUUCGGCAAUGGACGGAAGUCUGACCGAGCAACGCCGCGUGAGUGAAGAAGGUUUUCGGAUCGUAAAGCUCUGUUGUAAGAGAAGAACGAGUGUGAGAGUGGAAAGUUCACACUGUGACGGUAUCUUACCAGAAAGGGACGGCUAACUACGUGCCAGCAGCCGCCGUAA
rnacentral:rRNA from 1 species